GCAUUUUGGCGCCGAAAUCUUCCACAGCUCCGCCAAUUGUCUAAACCCGAAACCCCCAAAUUCAAUGGCUCUCUGCUUCUUCCUCUCCAGAAUCACCCGUCCCAGAACCUCCCGAACCCUAACCAUUCCCAUCUUCUCACACUCGUCCCCUUUCCAAAACCCUAAUCCCAAUCCCAAUCCCAAUUCCACCCCCCACCUGGCUUCCCGAUACUCCACCUCGUUCCUCAUCACCAAAACCCCGAAGAAAUUCAAGAAGAAGCGCAAGAAGAAGGAGAGCCCCAGAACCAAGCUCGUUCAAUCCGAGCCUAACCGAAUCCCCUCCCUCGAACGCAUCCUCGACCGUGACGCCUUCUUCCGCUUCCUCCUCCGCUCCAAGCAGUUCCUCUCCAAGCAGCCCGAGCGCGUUCUCCGCCUCGACGACGCCGGAAAGCUCCACCGCGAGCUCGGCUUCCCCCGCGGCCGAAAAGUCGCCCGCUUUAUUCAGCGCCACCCUCUCAUCAUCUUCGAGCCCUCCCGCCACUGCGACGGGAAAAUGUGGCUCGGGUUCACCGAUUUCAUGGACGAGCUUCUCGAAGAGGAGCGGGCGAUUAUGAACGAAAUGGAGGCGGAUCGGGUUACCAAAGUGAGGAAAUUGCUUAUGAUGUCCGCGGGGAAAAGGAUUCCUUUGAGUAAGAUUCAUCAUUGUCGGUCGUUGUUUGGAAUUCCGGAUGAUUUCAGGGACCGGAUUGCGAAAUUCCCGGAUUAUUUUAAGGUUGUGGUUGAGGGUGAUGGGAGGAGGGUUCUUGAAUUGGUGAAUUGGGAUCAGAAUUUGGCGGUGAGUGCGCUCGAGAGGGAGUUUAUGGUCGAUGAGGAGAAGGCCAAAAGGGCUUUCAAGUUCGCGGUGAAGCACGGGAAGGAUUUGGAUCUGGACGAGGACGAUACGCGGAAAUUGAACUUGCUGAACACCCUUCCGCUGGUGUCUCCGUACUCGGACGGUUCGAGAUUGGAUCUUUGGAGUUUGGAGGCGGAGAAGUAUAGGGUUGGUGUUUUGCAUGAGUUCCUGAGCUUGACGUUAGAGAAGAGGGCUUCUAUACACCACAUUGUGGAGUUUAAGGAGGAGUUUAGCUUGACUAAGCAUACUUACCAGGUGCUUUUGAAGCAGCCGAGGACGUUUUAUCUGGCCGGGACGGAGAUGAACUGGGCUGUUUUCUUGAAAGAUGCGUAUGAUGAAAAUGGGGAUUUGAUUAAGAAAGACUCCCAGGUGGUUUUUACUGAGAAGCUGUUCAAGUAUGCCCAGAUGCAGGAAAAUGAACUCGGUUCAGUAUUUGAUGGAAAAUGAUUACUGCAUAAACUGGUUGUCUUUUGUAACGUGAGUGGAUAGAUGAUGGAAAACUUGUGAAAUCUUCAUUGAUGUUGGAUCAGGACUUUUUGAGCUGCUAGGAAAACCGGGUGGCCGGAGAAAAAUAUGCAAAUGAAUUUAAGUAGAGAUUUGUUCCAAUUGUGGGAAAACUGCUGGCAUUUGAUGUUGGCAGUCUUUUUCUUGCUUGGAGCUGAUCUUACUAUGGUUGGAGAAGCUGCACAAUCUGUAGUACGUUGAUGCUGUUGAGUACGAAGAUCACUCCAUCUGAAGCAUUUAUUGAAGUUAUAACUUAUGAAU